rnacentral:rRNA from 1 species
AACGCGAAGAACCUUACCUGGGCUUGAACCGCCGGAAGUAGCUCUUAUGAAAGUUUGAGCGGACCGUAAAAUCGGUAGCCGGUAGAGGUGCUGCAUGGCUGUCGUCAGCUCGUGUCGUGAGAUGUUGGGUUAAGUCCCGCAACGAGCGCAACCCUUACCCUAUGUUGCCACGUCUGUAAUGGACAGCACUCUUAGGGAACUGCCUCGGACAACGGGGAGGAAGGUGGGGAUGACGUCAAGUCACCAUGGCCUUUAUGUCCAGGGCUACACACGUGCUACAAUGGCCGGUACAACGAGCAGCAAAUCCGCAAGGAGGAGCAAAUCUCUAAAAGCCGGCCUCAGUUCAGAUAGUGGGCUGCAAUUCGCCCACUUGAAGGCGGAAUCGCUAGUAAUCGGGGAUCAGCUGGCCCCGGUGAAUACGUUCCCGGGCCUUGUACACACCGGAGUGC